UGAUGACAGGCAGGAACGAAAUAUUGUCCGUUCCGGCUUUUAAUAGGGAACAAA
rfam:Enterococcus devriesei strain DSM 22802 Scaffold7, whole genome shotgun sequence.